rnacentral:rRNA from 1 species
AGGCUUUGAUCCUGGCUCAGGAUGAACGCUGGCGGCGUGCCUAACACAUGCAAGUCGAGCGGAGUACCUUUUUGGACAUUUUCGGAUGGAAGAGAAGGAUACUUAGCGGCGGACGGGUGAGUAACGCGUGGGCAACCAACCUUGAUCAGGGGGACAACAUUGGGAAACCAGUGCUAAUACCGCAUAGCUCUGUAAAGCGGCAUCGUUUAACAGAGAAAGAUUUAUCGGAUCAAGACGGGCCCGCGUCUGAUUAGCUAGUUGGUAAGGUAACGGCUUACCAAGGCCUUGAUCAGUAGCCGACCUGAGAGGGUGACCGGCCACACUGGAACUGAGACACGGUCCAGACUCCUACGGGAGGCAGCAGUGGGGAAUAUUGCACAAUGGGGGAAACCCUGAUGCAGCAACGCCGCGUGAGCGAAGAAGGCCUUCGGGUCGUAAAGCUCUGUCCUAUGGGAAGAAGCAGUGACGGUACCAUAGGAGGAAGCCCCGGCUACA